rnacentral:rRNA from 1 species
GUGGGGAAUUUUGGACAAUGGGCGCAAGCCUGAUCCAGCAAUGCCGCGUGCAGGAAGAAGGUCUUCGGAUUGUAAAGCACUUUAAGUUGGGAGGAAGGGCAGUAAGUUAAUACCUUGCUGUUUUGACGUUACCAACAGAAUAAGCACCGGCUAACUUCGUGCCAGCAGCCGCGGUAAUACGAAGGGUGCAAGCGUUAAUCGGAAUUACUGGGCGUAAAGCGCGCGUAGGUGGUUCAGCAAGUUGGAGGUGAAAUCCCCGGGCUCAACCUGGGAACUGCCUCCAAAACUACUGAGCUAGAGUACGGUAGAGGGUAGUGGAAUUUCCUGUGUAGCGGUGAAAUGCGUAGAUAUAGGAAGGAACACCAGUGGCGAAGGCGACUACCUGGACUGAUACUGACACUGAGGUGCGAAAGCGUGGGGAGCAAACAGGAUUAGAAACCCUAGUAGUCC